rnacentral:rRNA from 1 species
GACGAACGCUGGCGGCGUGCUUAACACAUGCAAGUCGAGCGAUGAAGCUCCUUCGGGAGUAGAUUAGCGGCGGACGGGUGAGUAACGCGUGGGUAAUCUACCCAAUAGUGGGGGACAACAGUUGGAAACGACUGCUAAUACCGCAUACCUUGAUUUAUCAAGAAAGAUGGCCUCUGAAUAUGCUGUCGCUAUUAGAUGAGCCCGCGUCUGAUUAGCUAGUUGGUGGGGUAAAGGCCUACCAAGGCGACGAUCAGUAGCCGGCCUGAGAGGGUGAACGGCCACACUGGGACUGAGACACGGCCCAGACUCCUACGGGAGGCAGCAGUGGGGAAUAUUGCGCAAUGGGGGAAACCCUGACGCAGCGACGCCGCGUGAGCGAAGAAGGCCUUAGGGUUGUAAAGCUCUGUUUUAAGGGACGAAUGUUACGGGGAGUAAUAUGCCCUGUAAAUGACGGUACCUUAAGAGGAAGCCCCGGCUAACUACGUGCCAGCAGCCGCGGUAACAC